UACGGAGGGUGCAAGCGUUACUCGGAAUUACUGGGCGUAAAGCGUGCGUAGGUGGUUGUUUAAGUCCGUUGUGAAAGCCCUGGGCUCAACCUGGGAAUUGCAGUGGAUACUGGGCAACUAGAGUGUGGUAGAGGAUGGCGGAAUUCCCGGUGUAGCAGUGAAAUGCGUAGAGAUCGGGAGGAACAUCUGUGGCGAAGGCGGCCAUCUGGACCAACACUGACACUGAGGCACGAAAGCGUGGGGAGCAAACAGG
rnacentral:rRNA from 1 species